AAAGUCGUAACAAGGUCUCCGUAGGUGAACCUGCGGAGGGAUCAUUACUGAGUUUUUAACUCUCCAAACCAUGUGAACUUACCACUGUUGCCUCGGUGGUUAGUGCUCUCCUUCGGGGGGGUGCUGCCGCCGGUGGACUACUAAACUCUUGUUAAUUUAUGGCAUUCUGAAUCAUAACUAAGAAAUAAGUUAAAACUUUCAACAACGGAUCUCUUGGUUCUG
rnacentral:misc_RNA from 1 species